AGGGGUAAACAGAUGAUCAGUUGUUUAUUUUUCGUUUACUCUGGUUUAACCUCACUUAACUAGAUAGAUCGAGAAAUAUUAAAUUACUAUUACUAUUAUUCAGGUUGAAAAAUGCCUUCCUCUAAGGUAAAAGGUUGCGAAGUCGAUUGGGGAAAAAUAAUGUGAAAAUGAAUUCUUUCCCAAAAGAAUCUGAACGACGGAAAGGGUGGAUUAAAAAUAUAGGGUUAAAACAAGAUCCAAACAAAUAUGCUGUUGUUUGUGAAAAAAACUGUAAAUAGUAUUUAAGGCAACGAUUGUGAAUGAGUGAGAAGUCUAAUAAAGCCAUGACGAGAUACUGUAUUAGAGCGUACGAUUUGGAGGUAUUUUUGAUUAGAUAAAUUUUGUAAAGUACAAUAUAAAUUAGAUUUGAUAAUGUGUAGUAUUUCCUAAUAAAUUAAAUACUAUUAAGUGUUUAUUGUUCUUGUAAGUUAGUGUGGUAAAUAAAUAAUAUGAAGUAAGUCUGUGUAUUUAAAUUAAUAUAAGUGUUCUUAUUUAAAAAUAAAUAAAGUCAAUUCAAAAUAAAUAUUAAUGCCUAAAAAUCAAAUUAGUAAAGUCGCUCACAUGUCACUAGCAAAGAAACUUGUCAGCUUUUUGUUUCCGGUUGAUUUGGACAGGUUAAGAAUUUAAAGUGGUAACACUACAUGUUAAAUCAAUCAUUUUAAAUUGUUUACAGUUUUACUUACAGUAGGAGCUGUAACAUACUUUUGUUUACCAGUAUGCAAAAAUUAAAAAAUCUUUCAUAGAUAUUGAUUCACCACUCAAGAACUAACAAAUUGUGAAGAGCACAAAUAUGCCUGUACUUCGUUAUCUGUCCAGGGCCGAUAUCAAUUGAUUGUCACAAUAUUGUAUAGGUAUAGAAUAAUUCAUUUUAUUACAAUUAACAGUUUUUAGGUUUCCAUACUUCUAAAGGAAAAACGGACCCUUAUAGGCUCGCUAUAUACUUAUACUAUGGCCAAAAAGCGGUAGUGAGAAUAGAAGAUAUAACAUCAGAAGAAAUAGAAAUGAAAAAAAAAGGUGUUCGACAAGGGUGUAUACUUUCACCAAUAUUAUUUAAUAUAUAGGUACUCGGAAGACAUAUUAAGUAAGACAAUGGAUGAAAUAAACAUAGGCAUUAGAAUUAAUGGCAUGAUCAUAAAUAACCUGAGAUACGCUGAUGAUACAGUUCUUUUAGCCGAAUCACAUGAAAACCUACAGAUACUGCUUACUUAAUAAAGUGACCGCAGUAAGUGGAGAAUGUGGACUAUCGCUUAACAUAAGCUUUAUUCCAGCAAUGUUCCAUUAAUUUUAUCUGUCUCUUCCACAUUAACCAAGAAGAGGUGUUGAAAUUUCUGAUACAUUUCCAGUGGAUACAUUACCAGCUAUUCGUGAUGAAUAAUGAGUAAUACAGACUUAAAAAUUCAUACAGACCUAGCAGUCAUUACUUAGCUUUUGAUUAAAAUUGACAAAUCUAAACGCACAAGUGGUCUAUUACUUUUCUGUCCAAAAAACGUUUAUAUGUUUUUUGUCAUUUUGAAUUAAACACCUAUAAGUUCGUUUAUGCUUUAUGUUUCUAGCUUGAUUCUAUUUUUGAAGUUAUUAGGUGCGAUUGGGAAAAAUGUUGUCGAGUUUUUUAUAAAACUAACAGUAUGCACUAUUGUGCACACAGACAAUAUAAAGUUAGUUGCUAAAUCUUUCAAGUUACGUAUCGGUGGAAAUAAAGUGUGAACAAAAUAUAUUGGUGUUUUUAGUAAAUAUAUGUUUUAUAAUUUUUUAAUUUGUGCUAUUCUUUUAAUGAAAUUUUUUGGAAAGUAGUAAGUAUUAAAAUUUAAUUUAAUAUUUAAAUAAAUUACAAAUAAACUGUU
rnacentral:lncRNA from 1 species